GCAUUAAUGGGGUAGUGGUAACCUGGGUCGUUGCCAUAAGUGAUAAGUAAGGGAAAUAUGGCCGUUUCGACCCGCCGGGGGUUCGAUUCCCUCUUAAUGCA